rnacentral:rRNA from 1 species
UGGCGAUGCGUCUUAAGCAUCAAGUCGAGCGGGCUUAUUCGGGCAACUGGAUAAGUUAGCGGCGAACUGGUGAGUAACACGUAGGUAAUCUGCCGUGAAGUGGGGGAUAACCCAUGGAAACAUGGACUAAUACCGCAUAUACUCUUGCUACAUAAGUAGAGUAGAGGAAAGUUUUUUCGCUUCACGAUGAGCCUGCGGCCUAUUAGCCUGUUGGUAGGGUAAUGGCCUACCAAAGCUACGAUAGGUAGCCGACCUGAGAGGGUGACCGGCCACAUUGGGACUGAGAUACGGCCCAGACUCCUACGGGAGGCAGCAGCUGAGAAUCUUCCACAAUGGACGAAAGUCUGAUGGAGCGACAUCGCGUGAGGGAUGAAGGCCU